rnacentral:rRNA from 1 species
UACAGAGGGUGCAAGCGUUGAUCGGAAUUAUUGGGCGUAAAGGGAGUGUAGGCGGUUUCCUAAGUCUUCUGUGAAAUCUACGGGCUUAGCCUGUAACGUGCAGAGGAAACUGGGAGACUUGAGUGUCGGAGAGGAUAGGGGAAUACCCAGUGUAGAGGUGAAAUUCGUAGAGAUUGGGUGGAACACCAGUGGCGAAGGCGCCUGUCUGGCUGACAACUGACGCUGAGACUCGAAAGCAUGGGGAGCAAACAGG